GGUUCUGCCUGGCCUGGUUGUUCAUGUGGUCAGGGUUCUGCCUGGCCUGGUUGUUCAUGUGGUCAGGGUUCUGCCUGGCCUGGUUCUUCAUGUGGUCAGGGUUCUGCCUGGCCUGGUUCUUCAUGUGGUCAGGGUUCUGCCUGGCCUGGUUGUUCACAAAAGACGGCGACGUGGCUGCCCUUUCUAGCCCCGACAUGAUGGUUGGCUGGCAGGCCCUGUGGGUUGUAUCUUCUGGACUCCUGUGCUGGGAUGCAAGUUUUUCUUGGGCUGAAUUGCAAUGCAUUUGUCGAUGCUAGCUGGACCUGGGAGUUGGGUCCCCCUUUGAAUCAGAAACCAUCUUGGUAACAUCCCAACUAGGGUUCUCUUCAUGCUGUAACCAAGCUCUUCUUCAGCUGAGGAGGAAAAGAAAUCCUCGCUGGGGCUUCAAGAUCUAUGAAGAGGAAUAUUGAAAUGUGUGCAAUGGUUCCCUCCCGUAGGCGCUGUGGUGUAUUCUAGUCGCUGAGAAAGAGCCCUCGCAUCCUACCCAUGGCGUCUCUCCUUGGGGAGUCCCUGUCACAGUCUUGACGGAUGUUCCAGGUCAUGUAACUGAUGCAACAGCCCUUUUGAACACUGUUUCUCCGGAGGGGGGCACGUCUACAGAACAGUAGACUUCAGACAGCACAGUAUCCUAACAUGCAUCUCUGGCCACUCGGACCACACCCGGAUCAAUAUGACAAUGCUCAUGCGAUGUGAAGCGAGGAAGUAGCCAAAAGACAGAUUAGAUAGCUUUUUUUGUACAAUUGGUAGAUAAUUAGUUAAAUGGGGUAACUGAAAUGUUUAGUCAAAAUGUUUUGUACAUAAACCAACAGCAACAAACUACCAGAUCGCCUCAAGGUAAGUCUGUUGGCUGUAUUUUGCAAUGAGACGACCACAAGAUCUUCAUCGUCGUUCAGCUCAAGGUGAGGUGCUGGUUACGUUACUUAGGGAUGGUUCGUACUGGAACGUUACGAUUCCAGUAUGACGGGGCUUGGGGUUUCUGUAGAGGUUGGUAGUUAGUUUUGUGCAGUCUGUGAAGCUCUAAUGCUGCAGUACUGUGUGGUGGAGGAUAACUGGCAGUACGAACAGGAUUGGCAAUUGCAUUACGUGAUCCACACCUUAUUAUGGCGUCUGGCAGUACGAUCAGGAUUGGCAAUUGCGUUAUGUCAUCCACACCUUAUUAUGGCGUCUGGCAGUAUGAUCAAUAUUGGCAUUUGCGUAAACCUCAUAACUAAUGAGCGUACCCAAUUAAGGUAAUCUGGCAGUGCCCCAUUUCUAUAGGUAAUCAUCUGCGAUUAUUGGUAAAUCCUUAUGCACUAGAAAUUAGGAAGGGCACUCUUAAAAUAUAUAUAUUUUUAAUUAUCCCACAAAACACCGCAAACUACUUUGAUAACUGCGCUCUACAAUCAACUCUCGAUUUUCUGCGCAUACAUUUAUCGGGUCGCGUAAAAGAUGGAGACGACGGCAUUUACCUACUACGGCUUUUUAUUUCUUCAACAACCCAGCAGCUGAAUGUGGCCAAGUAUCAUUUUACUAUCUAAAUUACUAUUGAUAUUGCUAGUGUUCUAAAUAUCUGGGCUGUGAUUUGCUCAAUAUAGUUUCUGCUAGACUUCAGAAACAAAAGGAAGGGUUAAAUGUAAGUGUGCUUAUUCACGUAUUAUCAAAUGGUAUAGCUGUUUAGAAAAGUAAAGGCAGUGAUGUAAAGCGCGUCGUGGUGUUUUUAAAUGGAUGAAUGUUGUGCUAACAGACGGGGGGAGACUCCAGGCCUUGCAGUCCUGAUCCUGUAUGACGCAGAAGAUGUCAAUCCAACCGCACAUUGAUCUCUGCAGCGUGGUCGGUGGGAGGAGAUGUGGCCGAGCUGUUGAACCAGGCUCUAUCGGUACCCGAUGGCCUUGGCUGAUGGAGGAACUGCAUCUGGAGGACGGCCAUGAAUCUACCUGCCAACAGGUGGUACUGGUUUGCACUGGUUUGCAUGAACUGAACAUGGUGGACAUGAGGCAAAUUCCCUGCUUUUUGCUCCAGACCAGGACUCUGUGAGGGGUGGUGAUGGAGCCGUGCUGAGGACCCGCUGGUGAAGGACGUCCCUCGUGGGGGGGCAAGGACAGCCGACCCUGAGUGUGGUCGGUGGGAGGAGAUGUGGCCGAGCUGUUGAACCAGGCUCUAUCGGUGUCAGGACGCGUUGGUGGAGGAGUGCUGAUGGACGAGAGCCGAUGGAGCCAUGGUGGACGAGAGCCGACGGCGCCAUGGUGGACGAGAGCCGACGGCGCCAUGGUGGACGAGAGCCGAUGGAGGAGCCGUGGUGGAGGUCCUGCCUUAAGAAUGAUGUCGGGACCCGAUGGCCUUGGCUGAUGGAGGAACUGCAUCUGGAGGACGACCAUGAAUCUACCUGCCAACAGGUGGUACUGGUUUGCACUGGUUUGCAUGAACUGAACAUGGUGGACAUGAGGCAAAUUCCCUGCUUUUUGCUCCAGACCAGGACUCUGUGAGGGGUGGUGAUGGAGCCGUGCUGAGGACCCGCUGGUGAAGGACGUCCCUCGGUGGGGGGGCAAGGACAGCCGACCCUGAGGAUCCGCUCGGAUGUACGAUCGCUACGAUGCGACUGCAGAGGUCUCUGGAAGACCAGGAGUCCUUGGCUGAGGAGAGCUGAUGGAGGAGCCGUGCACCUGGAGAACCAUGAGUCUGCCUGCCAACAAGUAGUACUGGGAUAGGGAGGUGAUGGAGGACCUGCCUGGUGAAGGACGUCAGGGUGGGGCGAGUGACACCCGACUCCAAGGGGAUAUCCACUGAGGAGAGCUGAGGGAGCCAUGCAUCUGGAAGGUGCAGUUGAAAUGCUGUGUCCAGUCUGGGACAGACAGACCUGAGCUGCGUCAAGCCUGUAUCUCUGACCAGCUGGAGUCCCUUAGUGAUCAACAACCGCCACUCAUCGCUGGCCUGUGGAUUCAUCUCCUUCACACUCACACAUCAGGACUUUGGCCUGUGGAUUCAUCUCCUCCACACUCACACAACAGGACUCUGGCCUGUGGAUUCAUCUCCUCCACACUCGCGCAACGUGACCUUCUCACCAUCUGUUGCACGUUUGGAUGCACCUAGCGUGAUCCAUCGAGGGUUCCUUCCUCCCCACGGUGGGAGGGUUCCUUGUCCUUCAAGGCGUCGGGGUUCAGUGUUAGGGACAGAGUUAGGGACAGAUGGCUGCGCUGGAUUCACGAUACACGCUUUGUGAUCAAAAUGGGUUCGGACAUCGGACAAAUCGCUUCCCAAAAUGUUUCAAUGUGCAAACGAUUUUAUAAAAUGUAUACUUGUGGUGUUUAUAUAAAAUCGUA